rnacentral:rRNA from 1 species
GAUGAACGCUAGCGGCAGGCCUAACACAUGCAUGUCGAGGGGCAUCGCGGUGCAGCAAUGCACUGGCGGCGACCGGCGUACGGGUGCGUAACGCGUAUGCAACCUGCCCCGCACCGGGGGAUAGCCCGCCGAAAGGCGGAUUAAUACCCCAUGGUCCCGGGGGCCCGCAUGGGCAUCCGGGUAAAGCCUUGGCGGUGCGGGAUGGGCAUGCGUGCCAUUAGCUGGCUGGUGGGGUAACGGCCCACCAGGGCAACGAUGGCUAGGGGGUCUGAGAGGAUGGUCCCCCACACUGGUACUGAGACACGGACCAGACUCCUACGGGAGGCAGCAGUGAGGAAUAUUGGUCAAUGGGCGCAAGCCUGAUCCAGCAAUGCCGCGUGCAGGAUGAAGGCCUUCGGGUUGUAAACCGCUUUGUACGGAACGAACGGUGAGCUCUAAUAAAGCUUGCUAAUGACGGUACCGUAAGAAUAAGCACCGGCUAACUACGUGCCAGC